rnacentral:misc_RNA from 1 species
GACAGAAGGUGCAAGCGUUACUCGGAAUCACUGGGCGUAAAGCGUCUGUCGGCGUCUUUCCACGUCUGGCAUUAAAUCUCGGAGCUCAACUCCGAACCUGUGUCGGAAACGAGAAAGAUAGAGUCAGUCAGAGGCAUCUGGAAUGUCGUGUGUAGGGGUAAAAUCCGCUGAUACACGAUGGAAUGCCAAAAGCGAAGGCAGGAUGCUGGGACUGUACUGACGCUCAGAGACGAAAGCGUGGGGAGCAAAGGGG